rnacentral:rRNA from 1 species
CCUACGGGAGGCAGCAGUGGGGAAUAUUGGGCAAUGGAGGAAACUCUGACCCAGCGACGCCGCGUGCGGGAUGAAGACCUUCGGGUUGUAAACCGCUUUCAGUAGGGAAGAAGCGAAAGUGACGGUACCUACAGAAGAAGCACCGGCUAACUAUGUGCCAGCAGCCGCGGUAAUACAUAGGGUGCAAGCGUUGUCCGGAAUUAUUGGGCGUAAAGAGCUCGUAGGUGGUUCGUCACGUCGGAUGUGAAAAUCUGGGGCUCAACCCCAGACCUGCAUUCGAUACGGGCGAUCUAGAGUGUGGUAGGGGAGACUGGAAUUCCUGGUGUAGCGGUGGAAUGCGCAGAUAUCAGGAGGAACACCAAUGGCGAAGGCAGGUCUCUGGGCCAUUACUGACACUGAGGAGCGAAAGCGUGGGGAGCGAACAGGAUUAGAUACCCUGGUAGUCCACGCAGUAAACGGUGGGCACUAGUUGUGGGAACCUUCCACGGUUUCUGCGACGCAGCUAACGCAUUAAGUGCCCCGCCUGGGGAGUACGAUCGCAAGAUUAAAACUCAAAGGAAUUGACGG